GGGCGGAGCAGCAGCUGCAGCCCCGGGUGUCCCUGGAGCGCUGGGAGCUGCCGCUGGCCCCAGGCGCUGUCCCCUGAGGAGCUGCUGAAGGACGCUGCCCUGAGGACCUUGAGGACAGGCGGAGACCGACAGGAGCCAGCAGGGAGAAGCUGAAGGCCGCCAGCUCCAGCAGUGAACAGGGAGCUGCUGCUGCCAGCCCAGAGCCUGGAUGUGCCAUCUGCUGUCCCUGUCCAGGAGAGCUGCUCUGCACAGGAGGAAGCAAGCACAGAAAGAAAAGCUUUGAAGAUAUGGACUUGAACAUAGAGUGGGAUAAUUAUAUGGAUAUAUAUGUAGGCGGGUUGCUAUUUGUAUAGGAAUAUUUCCACAUGUAUGUUGUUCUAUCUGUGAUUAGUUUUACUUCCUAUGUAUACACUCAUGUAGGUAUUUCUAUUG